ensembl:lncRNA
CACUGGCUGCCACCUCCUGCCUGCUCCAGCUUGUCACUGUCCUUCCCUAGACCGUCCCUGCAGCUCUACCUGGAAGCCCUCUUCUUCCUCUUUCUCCACCCUGGAGGCCCUGACACACCCUGAGAGGCCUCAGCAGAUGCCACUUAUUGCCCGGGAAGCUGCCAUCCUUCCCUCCAGCAGAGAUGAGCCAGCACUUCCUUCCAGAGACUACACAGUGUUCCAGAGAGCUGAGCACAGGAGCCUGGCUUUGUACACAGAAAAUGACUGAAGAAAGCAAAAUCGAAAAGUAGAUUGGUCACUUCCAUUUCUUUCCUUGUGGGGUCGGGACAGAAUAAUAGAAAAAUAACUGAUUGGUUAACAUCAAGUUACUUCAGGUAAUUUUUCCGGGUAAAUUUAAGAUUAGAGGAAACAUCAGUAUCAUGACAAUUAAAACUGAUCUGUCUGGGAAAUUCAGUUGUUCUCCAUAUAAUCCUGAUUUCUAUGACAGCCACACACACAGUUUUUAGAUUCCGCUUGGUGAAACAGCUUAGUUUAGCAUGAAUGAUUCCAUUUUGAUUUUUAGUGUGGUAUCUUGGGGCCCAGUCUAAAGUAAUGAUCUCCUGUAAUUUUUAUUUAGCAACAUCCAGACAUGGAGUUUUUGGAUCAUAGAGUGUACAUAAAGUGCACACACCUGUAAUCCCAGCAUUCAGGAGGCAGAGGCAGGAGGAUCACUGUGAGUUCGAGGCCAGCCUGGGCUACAUAGUGAGAUCUUGUCUCAAAAUACCAAAAUAAAAAGUUUUAGUUAGGUAUUUUCCCACCAGCUGUGAGAGCUGCCCUUACUCCAUAUCCUUCCAAAAAUUUGGGUUAGAUUUUUAAAAUUUUGUCAGUUGAAUGAGUGGAAGUGGUAUAAAUAUAUUUUAACUCUUCAUAAUGAAAAAUUCCAAGUAUUUAUACAGUAGUGAGACUAAUAUAAUGAAUUUCUAUGUCUCUGUCAUCUAAUUCAAUAAUUAUCAAUGCUUAUUGAUUUUGUUCCUCUAUAAUCUUACCAUUAUUUUGAACCAAAUCCCAGACAUCAUACUGUUUCCAUCUGUAAACAUUUCAGUAUAUUUGAUCCCUGGUACCAAAAAAAACAAACAAACAAUAAAACAUUUCAG